CUUCACCGAGCCCAGCAGCACCGGGUUGGCGUCCCCCCGGUCCUGCCCGUACGUGGCGAGCAGCGCCUGCGCCUC
rnacentral:antisense_RNA from 1 species